UACGUAGGGUGCAAGCGUUGUCCGGAAUUAUUGGGCGUAAAGAGCUCGUAGGCGGUCUGUCGCGUCGGCUGUGAAAACCCGGAGCUCAACUCCGGGCCUGCAGUCGAUACGGGCAAACUGGAGUACUGCAGGGGAGACUGGAAUUCCUGGUGUAGCGGUGAAAUGCGCAGAUAUCAGGAGGAACACCGGUGGCGAAGGCGGGUCUCUGGGCAGUAACUGAC
rnacentral:rRNA from 1 species